CAGCUUUUUGUUUGUGUUUAUGUUCCUCUUAAAAUGUAAGACGAACAAAAAGUUUGU
rnacentral:pre_miRNA from 1 species